GAGUGGCCUUAUUCUUUCUCAAAAAUGUCCCCUUCAUAUAAGCCCUAUUCCGAACCCCCUGGCAAGCACUGAAUAGAGGCAUGAGUUAUGACGCACACACCAGUAAACAGCCUCACAGAACACUGGUUAAUGAAGCUCAUUAUCUGGCAUGUUGUUUAUUAGUAGAGGCAAUAGUUUGCAACCUCUGAACAAGCUCUCAAGGUCCGUUGUAGGAGGAUGUAGGGUAAUCGAGCUUCUAAGACUCCAAACUCAUCUAAAGGGGGUUGCUGCACAUGGCAGUCUGUCAUUCUU
rnacentral:sRNA from 1 species